GUUUUAUAACGUUUUAUUUGACGUAGGGAUGACGUAAUGCUGCUUCCCGCCUAUGACAAUUUGAAUUAGUCAUGUGAUACAAGAUUGCGAAAGCCGAUUCGCCCAGAACGAUGACACGCCCACGAAACGCCCACAAUGUUCCUACCCUCUUAUUUUCUCCUUAAUUUUGCUCGCUUGCAAUAACAAAUAACAAUAUUUUGCCAGGAGGGGCGGCAAUGCCGUGCAGCAUGUAGAUUGGGACGAGCAAACAUGGCGAUGGCAGACGAAGCAGAUAUGGAAUUUGUUUCGAAUAUUAAAGAACUAUUUAUGAAACAAAAUAAGAAGUUAUGAAUAUUCUGAUC